rnacentral:lncRNA from 1 species
GGGUAAAGCUCUAUAUUCCUUAAUAUACCUUGUUAUCAAACGAUAUGUUGUCCGCUGAUCUUUGCUCCAACUUUAAAGUGCUUAGAUAGAUGUGUACUUGCCUUCUAUUUUACACUCCUAUAAAGUCCAUCUCCAUACGCAUCCCUUCAUUCUUACAUUCUUUAUGAGCCAACUAUAUGUUGUCCGCUGAUCUUUGCUCCAACUUUAAAGCGCUUAGGUAGAUGUGUACUUGCCUUCUAUUUUACACUCCUGUAAAGUCCAUCUCCAUACGCAUCCCUCCAUUCUUACAUUCUUUAUGAGCCAACUUUUUUCUAAUGUAUAUAUUUCAAUUGUUUUGUUACAUCAGUGGAAGAAGAAUCACUUCAAGUGGUCAAAGGGACCUUGACCAAGUGGCUGGGCGCAUUGUGGUUGCCCCUUGAUCAAUCAUAGUUGCGGUCUGCUACAAAAUAUCAGUUUAUUUUUGUAGUUUUAGAUUUAUGUUUAGCAAUUUGGAGGAAUAUUAAUGCAGCUACCAGAUCACAUUUUAAAUUAAAUGUUUGGUUGCAACUCUCCUGAGUGUUUUUGAGACGAACAUGUUUGCUUGCCUUUUUAUAUAUGACAUGUUAAUUUUGAGUUUACUCAGUGUUAUCCCAUUGCCAAUUUUUGCUAUGAAACUCUUCGUUUGAUGCCUUCUAUUAAUUCCUUUAGGAAAAUAAGGACGUCUAAUUAUAUAUUAAGGAAACCAUUGCACAAGCUGUUUAUCUCCAAUUUAGAACCCAUCUUUCAUAUUCAAAAGUUUGAAAUAAUCCUGAAGUGGUAAUAAAGAGUAAUAUAACACNNNNNNNNNNNNNNNNNNNNNNNNNNNNNNNNNNNNNNNNNNNNNNNNNNNNNNNNNNNNNNNNNNNNNNNNNNNNNNNNNNNNNNNNNNNNNNNNNNNNNNNNNNNNNNNNNNNNNNNNNNNNNNNNNNNNNNNNNNNNNNNNNNNNNNNNNNNNNNNNNNNNNNNNNNNNNNNNNNNNNNNNNNNNNNNNNNNNNNNNNNNNNNNNNNNNNNNNNNNNNNNNNNNNNNNNNNNNNNNNNNNNNNNNNNNNNNNNNNNNNNNNNNNNNNNNNNNNNNNNNNNNNNNNNNNNNNNNNNNNNNNNNNNNNNNNNNNNNNNNNNNNNNNNNNNNNNNNNNNNNNNNNNNNNNNNNNNNNNNNNNNNNNNNNNNNNNNNNNNNNNNNNNNNNNNNNNNNNNNNNNNNNNNNNNNNNNNNNNNNNNNNNNNNNNNNNNNNNNNNNNNNNNNNNNNNNNNNNNNNNNNNNNNNNNNNNNNNNNNNNNNNNNNNNNNNNNNNNNNNNNNNNNNNNNNNNNNNNNNNNNNNNNNNNNNNNNNNNNNNNNNNNNNNNNNNNNNNNNNNNNNNNNNNNNNNNNNNNNNNNNNNNNNNNNNNNNNNNNNNNNNNNNNNNNNNNNNNNNNNNNNNNNNNNNNAUUAAUGAUUAUUUUAAAAAUAUCAUAUACUAAUUAUAUUUUAAUAUUAUAUUAACUGAUAAAUUAAUUUUCUAAUUAGAUAAUGAUUUUAAUUAUAGAAAAUAAUAUUUUAAAUAUUAUAUCUAUUAAUAAAUUAAUCUUUAAUUAUAUAAUAAUUUCUAAUUCUAGAAAAAUAGUAAUAUCAAUUAUAUUGAUAAUUUAUAUAAUAUUAGAAUUAAUAAAUUAAUAUUUUUUUAAAAUUAUAAAAUAAUAUUAAAUAUUUAAAAUUUUAUUAAAUUGUAUCUAUCUACUUAAUUUUAUAAUAGUCAUGCAAUGCACAGGUAAACGACUAGAAACUAGUAUUUCCUAAAUCUCUAUACAGUAAUAUAUGAGUGUAGAAAAUAUGAUUUUGAUGUAUUUUAUUAAUAAAAUAUGAAGCCAUAUAGCAGUGGGUUUUUUCAUUUUUUGUUUUCAAUGAUUCUUUUCAGAUUUUUUUAAUUUUUGAAAUAAAAAAUAGAAAAUUAGAAAAAACUUAAAAAUGAAAGAAAAUGAUUAAAAGUGAAAAAGAAUUAUCCACAGCUAAAAUGUUGAACUUGUAAUUUGUGACUUUUAUUUAUUAAUUAUUCAGUUUCUCAUUAUUGCUAUAAAAUUUAUAUAGUCGCUAUGCUAAGAUGUUCUUUUAAAAAAUUGAAUGAAUUCUUUUCUCAUAUAUAUUUACAAAACUUUAUUAUUUUGAACUAGAAUUUUUAUAGUUGAAAUCAAACUAUUAUCACAAUAAUUGCCAUAAGAUGUUAAACUUCUAAGUUUUGUUAUAAUUAUUGUAUAAUAAAAAAGAAAAAGUUUAAUUACCUAUUUAAUUUUUAAUUUUUAAUUUUUAAUUUUUUUUAAUUUUAUUUGUUUUUUUUUUAAUUCUCAAAACUACGUACUCUUUUUUUUUUUUGAAAUCUAUUCCAAAGACUUUCAUUAUGAGAAAGUUAGUACAUCAUGGAGCAAGAAAUCAUGAAUAAACUCAGGUAGUUCUUGCCAUGAACAAAAGCGAGCAUAAGACUGAAAAGCCCUAGCCAUAGCAUGAGCUACUGCAUUUGCUUGCCUUUUAACAAAACUCAGAGACAUUAACACAACUAUUAAGCAUCUCUAAACAAUUAGCAAUAACACAACCAAAUUUGGAGUCGUUUCUACCAGGGUAACAAACUGCGAUAACCGUUAGUCAUGAAAUCAAAGAUGAGAUUAUGGCUUUGUGCUUCUGUCAAUAAGACCCACUAGAAGGUGAUGAGAUUUUGGUUUUGUGCUUAUGUAAUAACACUCACUGGAUGCUGAUGGUGGUGGGUGGUGGAUACGUGUUUAUGGUUGUGGAUUGCAAAAAAAGUUCUCGACUUCUUUUGUUUAUGGCAGUGGCUUAAUUAGAAAAAGAUGAAGAUUUUGCUAGUGAUAGAUAUUGGAUAUGUGUUUAUGGCUAUAGAUUGCAAAAAAAAUUUCUUAUACUUUUUCUGAUUGUGGUGGUGACUCAUCAAUUGAAAAAUGAUGAAGAUAUUGAUGGUGGUAGGUACUCGGUAUGUAUUUAUGGCAGUGGGUUGUAAAGAAAAAAGAAAUUGAUGAUGUCGACUCAACCAGAAAAUAAUAGAAAUAUUACGAGUGGGUGGGUGGUGGUAAGUCAGUUAUUUAUUCUGAGUCAGUUAUUGUCUGAGUGGGUGACUCAAUAUUUUUUUUAAGGUGUUUACUGAGUCUGCAGUUGAAUCAACACUAAUUCUUUUAAAUGGAUUAUUUAAAUAACUUCCAAUGCCAACUCAUCAAAUCAAUCGGAAAAUUUCUAUUAAUUUGGCCGGAAUGAAAUAAAUAUGUUACUUUGGAAAUAAAAUUGAAAUUUUAGAAAAACUAGAUGAAAUUGAAAAAGAAAUUGAAAGUUCAAGUUUAAAUGAGUAAUUAAGCCAAAGAAAAAAUCGCUAACAAUAGAUUUUACUAUUAAGAAUUCAAAAUUAGUAGUAAAAUUGUAUUUAAUAGCCAAAAGUAUAGCACUCGUGAUUAAAAUAUUAUUUUGUAACUAAAAACUAAAUAUUAUUUUGAUAAUAAUAAAACUUUUUGCUAAAGAGUUGAAAUUAAUUACAAAAUUUUAUAAUUAUUAAACUAUUUCUUUUACAGCCAAAAGUAAAGUAUUGAUAGUAAAAAUAUUAGCCACUAAUUCUACUGCUAAAAGAUAUCAUUGGCAAAAAAAUAUCAUUUUAUUACCAAAAUCUUAAUAUUAACAACUAAUUUUGGUAUUGAAAUAUUAUAAUUUGCAAUAAAAUACAAAAGAAAUUAUUUGCAAUAAAAAAUACAAUGUUGUUACUAAAAAUCGAAUACUAACAACAACCAAUUAUAUUUGAUUUUUAGUUAUUAAAUAGGUCAAAUUCGGUUAUUCGUUUACCCUGAUUUUGUAGUGAUUAAGCGGGUCAAAUCUGAUCAUUAGUUUAGUGAUUAAGCGGGUCAAAUCAGAUCAUUGGGUUACCCUGAGUUUGGUGAAAAUUUGUAGUGUUUUUAUAUGAACGAGCGGUAAAUAGAAAAUACUAGAGAGUGUGUAUAUAUGGAGAUGAGAGAAAGUCUAACUGUCCAAAAGCUAGUCUUUAAUUAUGUUAAUAAAUUAUUAAAAUUAAAAUAAUAUCAAUUUUUAUAAAUUUAUAUAAUAUUAUAUAACACAGUAACAUUUAACUUAAUUAAAUAAUUAAUUAGACUCAAAACAAACUUGGUCAAAUUAACAGGUCUACUUGUAAUUUUCAAUAGCUUAAGCCCAAAAAUAUUGUCGUUGUCGGGUCCCCAAAACCUUUUGAAGAUUGAGAUAUCUGCUGCAAAUCUCAUAUCUUUUGAAUAUAAGCCUUCUGAGCUUGUAGACCUUACUUUUUCUCAUGUUUCUUGUCUAGCAAAAUUUUAUUUCUUUAUGUGGGAAGUAGAAAGAUUGCAUCAUCUUUUAUCCCAAUUAAAAGAGGUUCCUAAUUUAGAGAUUCUAUCUUGUAUUGUUUAUACAAAUCAGGUAUGCCAAAAUGACUUGUUUUCAUUAUUUCUUGAUUUGCUAGUAGGUAUAUGCCUAAUUAACUCGGUAAUCUUUAAUGAUUUUUCCUUGUAUUUAGGCAAAGCAGUUGCCUGUUGCAAGCAUAUCAGCAUUUAGAAAUCUCAAACAAUUGAAAAUUUUCUAUUUUGAUGACAAAAAUUCUAAAGAUUUAGCAUGGGUAUUGGAUAUUCUAAAAGCUUUCUCUCUCUUAGAAAACCUUCAUUUAACAGUAAGUUUAUUUAGCUAUCUUUUUUUAAUAUAUCUUAUUAUGUUUAUGUCUUUACACAUUAAUUCAGAUUUUUCUUUUAUAUUGUCACAAUAUUUUUCUAAUCAAGUACUCUACUAACAUAGCAUAUAAAAAAAUUAAAUUUUUUUUAUCCUUUUUGUUUUAUAUAGUUUCCUCCUGUAAUGCUUCCUAAAGCUCGAAAAAAGAUGAAAACACUUUGUGGAUGUACACAUGAAAAUCUCAAACAAGUAGAGAGGGGUGGAUGUACUGAUAAUUGGCAUGAAAUUGAAUUGAUGUUAUUUCUAUUGAAAAAUGCAAUUGCUCUUGAACGAAUGAUUAUUCACUCCUCAAUAAAGAUUGAUAGCAGAUAUGGGAAAUGGAUUUCUUUUAAAUCAAAAUUCUCUAAUCGGAUGGAACCAGGUCUUGAUAUUCUUCAGAAAUCGCUCUAAAAUUAUGUUCUUCAAAAUGUUAAACUUGUAGUUUUAUGACUUUUAUUUACUAGUUAUUCAGUUUCUCAUUAUUGCUAUAACUUGUAGUUUUGUGAUUUUCAUUUAUUAAUUAUUCAGUUUCUCAUAUUUAUAUAGUUACUAUGCUAAGAUGUUCUUUUAAAUAUUGAAUGCAUUCUUAUAUAUAUUUAGGGAACUUUAUUUGAACUAUAGCUUUUAUGGUUGAAAUCAGACUAUUAGAUUUUCAUGAAAUUACUCAAUAAUAAUUGCCAAAAGAUGUUCAACUUUUAUUUAGGGAACUUUAUUAUUUUGAACUAUAGCUUUUAUGGUUGAAAUCAGACUAUUACAUUUUCAUGAAAUUACUCCAUAAUAAUUGCCAAAAGAUGUUCAGCUUCUACGUUUUAUUAUAAUUAUUGUAUAAAAAGAAAAAAGGCCUAAUUAGUUAUUUGAUAUUGAACUUUUAACUUUUUUUCAAUUUUAUUCAUUUUUAAAAAAAUUCCAAAACACAUGUUUGUUUUCUUCAAAAAUGAUUUUCGACAAGAUUUUACACUGAUACUUCUAAGUUAAAAAAUAGCAAAUAAGAAGCACGACGGUGUGUCUUGUUUUACUUCUCUCUCGCAUAGGCUAAAAGGGCAAUUUACUUCCAUACUUGGACAAGAUAGGCAAUUUAUAAUUUAACUUUUUAGUCAAAUUGCCCAUUUACAUAGCAGUAUUAGACAAUUUACUCAUUUUUUAAUUUGAAAUAAACCCGUAAAAUUGCGAGUGAGUGAAUUGGUAUUUACUAAAAUUCUUUUAUUAAAAAAGUAAUUUGUUUAAAAAUGCUGAGACAUGCCUUGCAUGAGUGUGAGUGAGUUGUAUUCUAAACUAACCAUUCUUUUAGCUUACAUUUCUAUUCCUUUGUUUCUUUAGUUAAUAGAAUCUCUAAAACACAUUUACAAGUUGAGUAAAUUUGUUUUCUUAAAGCAAAAGUGGACCAAAGUUAGAUUAAAGUUCUUUAAAGCCUACCGUGUAUAAAUUGGUUGCACUAAAAAUGGAAAUCAAGUGUUGUCUUUGUUUUUCUUUAUUUUGUUGUAUUUGUUUUGUAUAAAAGGAAAAGUUAGAUUUGUUUUAGAAGUUGAUCAUUAUUUGGAACAGAAGAAAACUCAUUUCUUUCUACGAGAUCGUGAUGCUUAAAAAGAGGAGGAGCUCGAGAAAUAGAUUUUAUUGACUUUUCUAAUUUGGAGAUUUUAGGUUUGUAGAGUUAGGAUUUAUGUAAUUUAGGAAUUGCUCAAAUAGAAUGAUAAAUAAUGCAAAUGUAAUUCAAGCAUUAUAUUUUAGAAUAAAAAUGAGUCAAUUACCCAAUUAUGCCAAAUAUGUGGGCGAUUUGGAUAAAAAAUAAGAAUCUGGAUAAGUUACCCCUCGCAUCCAAAUAAAGGGUCAAAUUGCCCUAUAAGCCCUCUCCAAUACAACCCAUAGGGUACAACUGGCAACUUUCCGCUCCUUUUCCUCCUCUUCACCACCAUAACUCCCACUCGCACCACCGUCUACAACAUCACGUGCCUACUUGCACCAGCCAUCAUUCUCUAUUUUCAACCGUUACUUUAGAAUAAAAUAUCUAGUUUACAAAUCAGCCGACAAAUUGUCAUUUAUGCACUACUAAAGUUUUGGCUUAUGCUUUUUGAUUAUAGUGUGGUUGAAAUAAAGAGUGUGUAAGGAUUAGAAGGAAUCGAUAACCGUUAGUCAUAAAAUCAAAGAUGAGAUCAUUACGGUCAUGGGUUUGUGCUUCUGUCAAUAAGACCCACCAAAAAAUUAUGAGAUUAUGGCUUUGUGCUUAUGCAAUAAGAUCACUGGAUGCUGAUGGUGGUGGGUGGUGGAUAUGUUUUUAUGGUUGUGGAUUGCAAAAAAGUGCUCGACUUAUUUUAUUUAUGACAGUUGCUCAACUAGAAAAUGAUGAAGAUUUUGCUAGUGAUAGGUAUUGGAUAUGUGUUUAUGGCUGUAGAUUGCAAAAAAAAAUCUUAUUCUUUCUCUGAUUAUGGCGGUGACUCAUCAAUUGAAAAAUGAUGAAGAUAUUGAUGGUGGUAGGUACUGGGUAUGUAUUUUAACAGUGGGUUGUAAAGAAAAAAAUUGCUGGUGGCGAUUCAAACGGAAAAUGAUAGAAAUAUUGCGAGCGGAUGGGUGGGUGGUGGUAAGUCAGUUAUUUAUUUUGAGUCCGUUAUUGUCUGAGUGGGUGACUUAAUGUUCUUUUUAAGGCGUUUGCUGAGUCUAUAGUUGACUCAACACUAAUUUUUCUAAAUCGAUUAUUUAAUAACUUCCAAUGCGAACUCACCAAAUCAACCGAAAAAUUUCUAUUAAUUUGGCCGGAAUGAAAUAAAUAUGUUACUUUGGAAAUAAAAUUGAAAAUUUAGAAAAAUUGAAUAAAAUUGAAAAAAAGUUGAAAGUUCAAGUUUAAAUGAGUAAUUAAGCCAAAAAAAAUCGCUAAUAAUAGAUUUUACAAUUAAAAGUUUGAAAUUAGGAGUAAAAUUGUAUUUAAUAGCCAAAAGUAUAGCAUUCGUGAUUAAAAUAUUAUUUUGUAACUAAAAACUGAAUAUUAUUUUGAUAAUAAUAAUUUUUGUUGCCAAAAAAGUUAAAAUUAAUAGCGAAAUUUUAUAAUUAUUAAAAUAUUUCUUUUACAGCUAAAAGUAAAGCAUUGACAGUAAAAAUAUUAGCGACUAAUUCUGCUGCUAAAAGAUAUCAUUGAUCAUUUUAUUACCAAAAGCUUAAUAUUAACAAUUAAUUUUGGUAUUGAAAUAUUAUAAUUUGCAAUAAAAUAGAAAAGAAAUUAUUUGCAGCAAAAAAUACGAUGUUAUUACUAAAAUUCGAAUACUAACAACAACCAAUUAUACUUGAUUCUCUAGUUAUUAAGCCGGUCAAAUCUGGUCAUUCGUUUACCCUGAUUUUGUAGUAUUAAGCAGGUCAAAUCCGAUCAUUCGUAUAGUGAUUAAGCAGGUCAAAUAUGAUCAUUGGGUUACCCUAAGUCUAGUGAAGAUUGGUAGUGUUUUUAUGUGAACAAGUGGUAAAUAGAAAAUAAUAGAGAGUGUGUGUAUAUGGAGAUGAGAGAAAAUCUAGGUGUCCAAAAGUUAGUUUUUAAUUAUGUUAAUUAAUUAUUAAAAUUAAAAUAAUAUCAGUUUUUAUAAAUUUAUAUAGUAUUAUAUACACACAGUAAUCAUAAAUACUCUAACAUUUAACUUAAUUAAUUAAUUAAUUGGACUUAAAAUAAGCUUGGUCAAAUUAAUGGGUCUACUUGUAAUUGUCAAUACCUUAAGCCCAAAAAUAUUGUCACUGUUGGAUCCCUCGAACCUUUUGAAGAUUGAGAUAUCUGUUGUAAAUCUCAUAUCUUUUGAGUAUUAGCCUUCUGAGCUUGUAGACCUUACUUUUUCUAAUGUUCCUCGUCUUACAAAAUUUUAUUUCUUUAUGUGAGAAGUACAAAGAAUGCCUCAUCUUUUAUCCCAAUUAAAAGGGGUUUCUAAUUUAGAGAUCCUAUCUUGUGUUUUUUGUACAAAUCAGGUAUGCAAAAAUAACUUGUUUUCAUGAUUUUUUUUAUUUGUUAGCAGGUAUAUGCCUAAUUGACUGCGUAAUUUUUAAUGAUUUUCUCUUUCAUUUAGGCAAAGAAGUUGCCUGCUGCAGGCAUAUCAACAUUUAGAAAUCUCAAGCAAUUGCUAUUUUGAUUAAAAAGAUUCUAAAGAUUUAACAUGGGUAUUGGAUAUUCUAAAGGUUUCCCCUCUUUUAGAAAGCCUUCAUUUAACAGUAGGUUUAUUUAGCUAUCUUUUUUUUUAUAUUUCUUAUUACAUUUAUGUCUUUACACAUUAAUCUCGGAUUUCUCUUUUAUAUUGUCACAAUAUUUUUCUAAUCAAUUACUCUACUAACAUAGAAUAUAAGAAAAUUAACUUUAUCAUUUUUCCUUUUUGUUUUAUAUAGUUUCUACCUGUAAUGCUUUCUAAAGUUCAAAAAGAGAUGAAAACACUUUGUGGAUGUAUACAUGAAAAUCUCAAACAAAUAGAGAUGGGUGGAUGUACUGAUAAUUGGGAUGAAAUUGAAUUGAUGUUAUUUUUAUUGAAAAAUGAAAUUGCUCUUGAACGAAUGAUUAUUCACUCCUCAAUAAAGAUUGACAGCCGUGAUUAGAAAUGAUUUUUCUUAAAAUCAGAAUUUUCUAAAAAAAUAGUCUUUAAUUAUGUUAUUUACCAUCUAAUCAUGGCAAAAUGUGUUUGGUUCUAGAAAGCUAGUCUUUUAAAUCAAGCUUUUUUGUCUAGUGAUUAAGGAGGUCAAAUCUGGUCAUUAUUUUACCCUGAUUUUUAAAAUGGAUUAUUUAAUUAACUUCCAAUACCAACUUAUCAAAUCAACCGGAAAAUUUCUAUUAAUUUAGCCGGAAUGAAAUAAAUAUGUUACUUUGAAAAUAAAAUUAAAAUUCUUAGAAAAAUUAAAUAAAAUUGAAAAAAAAGUUGAAAGUUCAAGUUUAAAUGAGUAAAUAAGCCAAAGAAAAUAAGAACUGCAACAAAUAUCAAAAUUAGAAGUAAUAAGUUUUGUUAUUAAAAGUAUAAAAAUUACUGUCACAGGUAUAUGGUAAAUGCGACCUUUAAAAAAUUUAUAAAAUUUAAGUUGCUAUUUUAUAACAAUAAAUUUUACUAUCAAAAGUUUCAAAUUAGUAAUAGAAUUGUAUUCAACAGCCAAAAGUAUAGCAUUGGCAAUAAAAAUAUUAUUUUAUUACCAAAAGUUAAAUAUUAUUUUGAUAAUAAUAAAUUUUAUUGCUAAAAAUUUGAAAGUAAUAGUAACAUUUUGUAAUUGCUACAAUAUUUUUCUUAACAACCAAAAGUGUAGCAUUGACGAUAAGAAUAUUAGUAACUAAUUUUGCCAUCAAAGAUAUCAUUGAUAGGAACAUAUUAUUUUAUUACCAAAAGUUUAAUAUUAACAACUAAUUUUGAUGUUAAAAGAUUAUAAUUUGCAAUAAAUAAUUUUUUACCCAAAAAAGAAGUUAUUAGCAAUAUUUUAUUACUAAAAGUUGAAUAUCCAUAAUAACCAAUUAUACUCGAUUUUCUAGUGAUUAAACAGCUCAAUCCCGGUCAUCAUUUAUGCUAAAUUUGGUGAAGAUUAGUAGUAUUUUNNNACAGAUUAGUAGUAUUUUUCACAUGAUCGGAUCGUAAAUAGAAAAUACUAGAAAGAGUGUGUAUAUAUGGAGAUGAGAGAAAGUCUAGGUGUCCAAAAGCUAGUAUUUAAUUAUGUUAAUAAAUUAUUAGAGUUAAAAUAAUAUCAAUAUUUAUAGAUUUUAUAUAGUAUUAUAUACCAUAGUAUAUCAUAAAUACUUAGCAUGAGCUAAUAUCUUGUCAUACCAGAAUGUUUAGAUUCAUAAACAUUUUCAGCAUCAUUUUCAUUUCAAUGCAUAUUUCGUUGAAUUAUUUAUUUGGUUAAUCGUGAUUUUAUAAAAUAAUAAAUAAAAAUUCUAAUUAUAAUGAAUUAUUAACGAUAAAAAAAAAGAUUAAUUACAAUUUAACAAUCUAUAUGGAGGUCUGACUUAAACUAAGAAAAUUCUAGUUUAAAUUAAUCCAUUUUUUAUUCUGGUGUCAACUUUUUUUAAAAGAUGAAAAACUACGCUUGGAAGUGCAAUUGCAUUCUUCAAUAGAAAUAAAAUGAGCUCAAUUUCAUACCAAUUACCGCUGCAUCUACCCAUCUCUAUUUGUUUGAGAUUUUCAUCUGUACAUCCAUCAGAUUUUUCUAUGCUUUUUUCGGGUUUAGGAGACACUCCUUAAACAAACUAUAAAAAUAAAAUAAAUAUUUAAUUUUAUUUAUGAUAGUAAUUUUUUUUAAAAGGUACAAUAUAUAUUUAAAUAUUUAAAUAUUAAUUAUUUUAUCACUUUAAUAUUUUAAUUUAAUUUAAAAUAAUUUUAUUAUCUUUUAAAAUACUUUUAAUUUCUAGUUUAAUCCAAUAAACAAUUCAACUCAAUUUCACUUGGAGUUAUGUCAAAAGUUGUAUGGGAGGAGAUGGAAGAAGUAACGGAUGAAAAUCACAUGCAUUUAAGUUGAGGACUGAGGAAAUAAAACAAGAAAUUAUAUAUAUAUAUAUAUAUAUAUAUAUAUGUUUGUCAUUUUAUUGAUUGUAACGUCUAUUUAUAGGUGUAAAAGGUGACAAAAAAUAAAUUUUUAUUUAUAUAAAAAAUUUUAUCCACAGACAUAAUGAUAAACAUCCAAAUAAUUCAAAUAUUUUAAUUUUAUCAUAACACUCUCUCUUAAAUGUCUAUUCCAAUGAAUAUGCCUCGUUAAAACCUUACUAAAAAAAUUUUGUAAGAAAAAAAUCUUAAUUAAGAAAAAAGAUACAUUAGUUCUAUCCGAAAAAUAGUUUAUUAAUUAUAAUUUAAUAUUAUAUUUCAUAAUUUAAUAUUAAUUUUUUUGAAAUAUCAUAAUUAGAAGUAAUAAUUAAAAUAUAAAAAUAUAUUAAUAAAUAUUUAAAACUAUCAAAAAGUAAAUUUUGUCAUAAAAAAUGGCCAAAAAUUGACCCCAAUAUUUCGAGGUUUUCAUUGCAUAACAAGGCCCAUUAAUAUCAUGUGAACCCAAUGGUAUGCUACAGAACCUAGAAGGGCGACCCGCAAAAUCUAAACUGGGUCGACCCAUAAGAAAAUGCAAAUGUCCUAAUUGUGACUGCAGAUAUAAACGGCUACAGCAACAUAUUAGAAACCCUAGCGAGAGACAAAGGCGACUGCUAAAAUUAGCUUGAACUAGAGUCUCUGCAACAAAUGGCGACUGCUAAAACUGUGAAGGACGUUUCCCCUCAUGAGUUCGUAAAGGCUUACGCUGCCCAUCUCAAGCGAUCUGGCAAGGUACUUUUUUUCCUGAUGAAUAUAUUAAUUAUCUGUUUCUAAAUAUUUUCUUCGUUUGGUUGAUUAUUGAUGUGCUGUAUAAAGCUUGGGAGUCUUGAUGUGCUGUAUAGCGUGUCCAGGAUCUGUUUGUGAUUGGUUUAAAUUUCAAUGGGUGUAUAUGGUUUGGAACUGGAUUUAAAGUUAACAUCUUUUAAAAAUUGUGAACUUGAUUUGUUGAUUUUAUGACUAUUGCUUUGAGGGUUAUUAAGGAUUUUAAAAGAGUAGACAUUGUUGUGACUAUGAGAAGGCGGUAGCAGAGUGGAACAUGAAUAAAUAUUGUAUAUUUUUUAUCUACCAUGGAAUUUUUUUGAGGUUUGGAGCAGGAAUGAACUGAUAGAGUGAGAAGCAAAUGAGUAUCUUUAAGAGUUCGGGAGAAAAAUUGUAAUUCUUGAAUGCUCCUCAAAAAGUAUUUUGUAAAAUUUCAUACCUAUGAUGGCCUUUCUAUAGUACAACUCAACUGCUGAUGUGGGUGGGUUAGUCGCAUCUCUGAGCAGUAUGGAUGAACUUUACUUUUGGUCACAUUUGAAUAUUGGUGAGCCAAUGUCUAGACUAGUGUUUGUUCGAUUGCUAUUUAUGUUGUUGGAUAAAUUUCGAUUUUGGUGAUUGGAUUUUGAGUUAAUGAGUAGGGUGUGUCUUUAUCAGUAAUAAGCUGCUUAAUUUUACUUGUUAUGGUUUUAAUUUUUAUUAGUCUUCUUACAUCUCUUGGAUUUCAGAUUGAGUUGCCUCCCUGGACUGAUAUUGUGAAGACCGGUACACUUAAGGAGCUUGCACCUUAUGACCCUGACUGGUACUUUGUUAGAGCUGGUGGGUCUCUUGUUCUUCCAAAUGAACACAUGCAAUCUAUCUGGUCCGAUGCUCGUAAAAAUGUAUGAUUCCCACCUUACAUUGUUUUUUGCUUGUAUCUUGAUACCUUUCGUUGGUUGCAGCUUCUAUGGCAAGAAAGAUUUACUUGAGGGGAGGGCUUGGUGUAGGUGCCUUCCGUAGAAUUUAUGGGGGGAGCAAGAGGAAUGGAAGUCGUCCACCUCAUUUUGGCAAGAGUAGUGGCGCUAUUGCUCGUCACAUACUUCAACAAUUGCAGAACAUGAAUAUUGUGGACAUUGACCCAAAGGGGUAAAGCUCUAUAUUCCUUAAUAUACCUUGUUAUCAAACUAUAUGUUGUCCGCUGAUCUUUGCUCCAACUUUAAAGUGCUUAGAUAGAUGUGUACUUGCCUUCUAUUUUACACUCAUGUAAAGUCCAUCUCCAUACGCAUCCCUUCAUUCUUACAUUCUUUUUGAGCCACUAUAUGUUGUCCGCUGAUCUUUGCUCCCACUUUAAAGUACUUAGAUAGAUGUGUACUUGCCUUCUAUUUUACACUCCUGUAAAGUCCAUCUCCAUACGAAUCCCUUCAUCCUUACAUUCUUUAUGAGCCAACUUUUUUCUAAUUUAUAUAUUUUAAUUGUUUUGUCACAUCAGUGGAAGAAAAAUCACUUCAAGUGGUCAAAGAGACCUUGACCAAGUGGCUGGGCGCAUUGUGGUUGCCCCUUGAUCAAUCAAAGUUGCGGUCUGCUACAAAAUAUCAGUUUAUUUUUGNNNUUUUG